rnacentral:tRNA from 1 species
CAGAAAGUAGUUUAUUAUAAAAUGUUAGUUUUGGGAAUUAAUGAAAAGAUUUAAUCUUUUUUCUGA